CAUGGUUUUUGCAACGACAACUAAAACAUAGUAGAACAGUGCGCAUAGAUUACCCAAUUCUAUUUUCAAUUUUAUUGAGUUAACACCUAAAUAUUAUCAUAAAUUAGAUGUAUUUUAUAGAAAUCAAAAUUUCUUUAAGUAAGACAGUCUUGUCGGCUGUUCGGUGUAAGCAAAGGCUACGUGUUGAAGGCCGUACGUUCACCUGUUAUCGUUAACU
rnacentral:lncRNA from 1 species